AUGGCCUGGACCCCUGCCCUCCUCAUGCUCCCCUCUCUCUGCACAGGGUGCCUCUCCCAGCCUGUGCUGACUCAGCUGCCCUCCCUCUCUGCAUCUCUGGGAGCAUCAGCCAGCCUCACCUGCACCCUGAGCAGUGGGUACAUUGUUGGCGGCUACCACAUAUUCUGGUACCAGCAGAAGCCAGGGAGCUCUCCCCGGUACCUCCUGAGGUUCAAGUCAGACUCUGAUAAGCACCAGGGUCCCCAGAUGCUUCUCUGGGUCCAAAGAUGCCUCGGCCAACGCAGGGCUCCUGCUCAUCUCUGGGCUGCAGCCCGAGGACGAGGCUGACUCUUACUGUCAAGUGUAUACAAGUGGUGCUGAGCACCGUGACAGAGACAGAUGGACAGAGACAGAUGGCGAAUGGGACAAAAACCCUGGGCCCCUCGUUUCCAAGCUUUGA